rnacentral:tRNA from 1 species
GCGGAAGUAGUUCAGUGGUAGAACACCAUCUUGCCAUGGUGGGGGUCGCGGGUUCGAAUCCCGUCUUCCGCU